rnacentral:lncRNA from 1 species
GACAGUAUGCCAAAGGAGCUAACAUGAGUCACAUCCAUUUUCCAUAAAGCAUUAGGAGUUAGGCCUCUAGGAUUAACACAAGGUUCCUGAUUUGGAAGUACGAAGACCUGGCACUGAGAGCAGCCGUGAACAAUAAACUUAGCCUGUUUCCAGAUGUCGGCAGUGAGCACUGGACUUAGCCACCAGCUUGCCAAGUCUAAGGUCGAUCAGAUGGCUCCUGCCUUGACAUGUCUAAGGUCGACCAGAUGGCUCUAGCUGGCGCCAGGACCAUUCAGGUCCAGCAGAGAGAGAUGUCGGCUGUGAGCGUUGGACUAAGGUCGACCUGAUGGACCUCACCUCUCGCCUUGCCAUGUCUAAGGUCGACCAGAUCUCUCUCGCCAGCAGCAGUACAAUUCAGGUGUCGGCUGUGGGUACUGGACCUAGCUGCUAGCUUGCUACAUCUAAGGUCGACCAGACGGUUCUCACCACCGGCAGUACUGCUCAGGUCCAACAGAGACAUGUGAUCGUGAUUCACUGUGGCCUCGAUCUCCCUGGUCUUGCCUGGGUGGUCUUCCCAUCUCAGCCUUCCGAGUAGCUGGGACUACUCGGACAAUUUUCAGUUUGCUUCCACAAUACUUAGAGGGGGUUGCUGCUUUUUUCCUUUGUUCUUUGCUCUCUCUCUCUGUUUUAAGUUUUUUACACUCCUUCCUGCACACUGAAGUUAAUGUUUUAGAUUUUUUUGUUGGGGGGUGAGGGCUAGGUCUUCUCACUCUGUCACACCCUGGUUGGAGUGCAGCUUGUGCGAUCAGCAGUGAGCCAUGAUUGCACAUCUGCACUACAGCCUGGGUGUGACAGUGUGACACACAAAGAUCGAGAGAGAGAGAGAGAGAGAAAGGGACAGAGAGAGAGAGAGAGACAACAAUUAUGAUCUUAAUUGCCUAUUUACCUUAGUUCAUUCCCACUUAUUUGGUUGUUUAUUGUUCUAUUAUUGUUUGUUAUUGUUUCUUUGUUAUUGUUAUGUUUAUUUUAUUUUUAUUUUUUAUGUGUAUGUAUGUACAGACAGGGUUCUGGGUUCUGCCAUGUUGCCCAGCCUGAUCUCGAACUCCUGCACUCAAGCAAUCCUCCUGCCUCGACUACCCAAACUGCUGCUAUUACAGGCGUGAGCCACUGUGCCUGGCUCCUAUCUAUAUACCUAUCUAUCUACUUAUCUUUUGAGGAGAGAUGUUUCUUUUUUAACUUUAAUUAUAAUAAUAAUUAUUAUUAGAGGUGUUGUCUCACAUCUCCUGGGCAGCAAUUCUCCAGCCUUGUCCUCCCAAACUGCUGCGAUUACAGGCAUGACCUGCCAUGCACGGUCUGGUUAUAUUUUUGAUGUAUUUAUUCUUUCCAGUCCUCGUUUCCACUUUGGGUGCAUAUUUGAUAAUAUGGGGAUUGAAAACAAAUAUUUUGAGAGAGAUCAAUCUCACAAACCUGCCUUUCCUUUCUAGUGGCACAAGCCUCAUCAGGGGUAGUGUGCCUGAUCUCUGGUGGUUUUAAAUAGUGUAGAAAGCAUUGCUAUAUGUAUUUUCCCUGCCAGGGAGUCCCAAAAAACAGCUAGAGAAGCAAAUUAUAGAAGAGAAAGAGGUUUAUAAUUAAAGUGAGGGUCAGAAACUUUUGUAGAUAAGGCUGAUUUUAGCCAAGAUUUGAAGGAGAGAUUCCUUCAUUCAACAGAUGCUGCAGUCUACCUGAUAUGUUUCAGGUACUCCUAUGAAAUAAGAGUACAACAGUGAACAAACAUUAAACACAAAGUUUUUAAUCUAGUGAGGCAGAGAAACUUCCCUCAAAUUAUCAUACAAAUAUGAACUUCCAUGAAAGCAAACUCAGUGUCCAGUAGGAAAAUUGUGAAAUUAUGAAAUGUUAUUUUGAUUUAAUGUAUAGCCAUUGAGGUUCUUUCAAAUAAUUAUAAAAUGAUCACAAUAACAACAGGUAUUUUAAAAGUGUGGUAUAAAAGUACAGAGUAUAAUCUUUGUUUUAUAAAAAUAAAUGCAUAUUUACCUCUGCACAGAGGUGGUUCUAUGCCAUGCUAAACUGGUUAUCCCUGGUGAUGAGAUUAGCAAUCACAGACUAUGUUCUCAUAAAAGAAUAAUGUUUUAGUCAGGAGGCAAGCAAAUUUGUUUUUCCACUGUUUGAAUUUACAAUUAAAUACUUUGCAUGCUUUAAAUGUAACGGAAGUUUUGUUAUAUACUCUGAUUCUCAUAUUAGGCUGUUUCAUUUUAAUUUUGACAUUGGCAGGGAAUAAGGUGAAGGUGGACUCUUCUUGUUCAGUGGAGCACAUGUGGUCCUGGAGAAAGCUGUCACACAGUGGACUCAGAGAUGUGGUCCACGGGCACUAAUUUCCUCUCAGUCCCUGCCUAAGCAAGAUUCAUCUUCCUCUGCCUGCUGUUUCAUUUUUUUCUUCUAUUGUCUGGUAUAUCUUAAGAUAAAAACUUGUUUCCAAAGGGAAAGUUUCAGAAAUGUUUCUAAGAAUAAUAAUUCAAGUUGGAUUUCCAAGUAGUAUUCCUGGGCAACUGAUUAAAUUCUUUUGUCAAUAAUCAAAAUCUGGAAUGUCCUGGAUUAGUUCCACCAUUUCAUCAUGAUAACUCCCUCUUCUAUAAUCCCUACCAGAAAUGAUUGCUUUGCUUAAAAGCUUUUCCCUGAGAAGACACUGGUGUGUUAUUUCUUUAUCAGCUUAUGAAAAUUAAUUCUGGUUGGGUACAGUGGCUCAUGCCUGUAAUCCCAGCACUUUGGGAGGCUGAGGUGGGCGGAUCAUGAGGUCAAAAUUGAGACCUUCCUAGCCAACAUGGUGAAACCCUGUCUCUACUAAAAAUACAAAAUUAGCUGGGUGUGGUGGCAUGCGCCUGUAGUCCCAGCUACUUGGGAGGCUGAGGCAGGAGAAUCACUUGAUCCUGGGAGGCAGAGGGUGCAGUGAGCCGAGAGAGCGCCACUGCAUUGCAGCCUGGCGACAGAGCGAGACUCCAUCUAAAAAUAUAUGUAUAUUAAUUCUACAUAUCUAGGAUUUUUACUGUGCCUUUGUGUUUUUUUAAGCUACUGGUUUUCUCAAGUUAAACAUUAAAAGUAUUAUGGAAGUACUGAUGAUGUACUCAGAGGAAAACAAUAGAGCAUAUAAUUUAUUUGUUAUAAAAUGUAAAAGUUCUGCAAGAUUUUCCUCUGAUUUGUAAAAUGUUCUCUCUCAAGAAAGUUUUUCUUUACGUCUUACAUUUUUUUUUAUUUUAAAGACCCACAGGGUUGCUUAAAGUGUGAUAGUCCUGUUGUUGUAGCGAAGAUAAUUACACAUACAACCUGGCUUUUGUGGCAUCUUGCUUACCCUAUUUUGCAGAACACAGAUACCAAAGGUUGGCCUUAUGAAGCUGGAGCUAUUUUUGCACUGUUAUUUCAGAAAUGCUGAAAGAACAUCCUACUGAUUUUCUAAUACUCAAAAUUAUACAAUAAUAUACUUGGACGUUUAGGUCUUAAAGACUUUUCAUCAUGAGUUUCUGUUAAAAUCUAAUAUGAAAUGCAGCUGCCAUCCAGAAUCUUAACAGUGUUUGCUGCCAGCCAACUGAAUGACUUAUUGGAGGAACGAUUCAUGACUUCUGGGCCUGAGGGACUGGCUGUCAGGGGGCUGGUUUGAGCAAAGCUCUUCCAUAGGUGACUCCAUAUUUGCACUGACAGAAGCUCCUAUUGCACAGAAUUGUACAAUUAUUCAGAAAGAGUAGAAAUCAUGAAUCUACAUUUUACCUGAUUUCAAACUGGUUGACAAUUUACUUCUGCAGAUUAUUUUUCUCUUCUCCACUUAAUUUAUAAUUUAUUCCAUCUAUUUUUUUCCUUUUCUGCCAACUAUUGUAUUUUUCUAGGGAUAGUUGCAGGAACGAAACUGAUUUCUAUCAGAGUGCUUAUUAUAAUUCUAUUCUAUUACUCUGUGAACAAAGAUGCAAAAAUCCUCACCCAAAUAUUAAGAAAUCAAAUCCAAAAAUGUAUAAAAAGAAUUAUACACUACAACCCAGUGAGAUUUAUUACAGGCAUGCAAAUCUGGUUCAACAUUUGAAUAUAAAUUAGGCUGGGUGUGGUGGCUCAUACCGGUAAUCCCAGUGCAGUAGGAGGCCAAGGAAAGAGGAUCACUUAAGGCCAGGAGUUCAAGAUAAGCGCAGACAACAUAGCAAGACUCUGUCUUUUAAAGAAAUUAGUUCAUCAUAUUAAGAGAUAUAAAAAGAUAAUAUGAUCUUAUCAAUAUAAUCAGAAAAAUUAUUUGACAAAAUUCAAAAUCUAUUCAUGAGAAAACCACUCUGCAAACUAAAAAUAGGGAAAAACUUCCUCAAUUUCAAAAGAAUGUUUAUUAAAAAAAACCUACAUCUUACCUCAUACUAAAUGUAGAAACACUAGAUGCCUUCCUGCUAAGAUCAGGAGCAAGGCAAAGAUGUCUCCUCUCACCAUUCCUAUACAACAUUAUACUGUAAGCCCCAGGUAAUACAAUGACAAGAAUAGAAAAGGUACAUAGAUUAGGAAGGAAGAAAUAAAACUGUCUUUUUACACAGAUGAUAUAAUUGCCUAUGGAGAAAUCUGAAAGGAUCACAAAACAAAAUCUUAGAAUAACCAAUUAUAAUGAGCAAUUAUACCAACUUUGCAAAUUAUAAGAAAAUGUAAAUGUCAAUUAUUGUCCUACAUAUUAGCAGUGUAAUUAGAAUCUGAAAUUUAAAACAAUGAUAUUUAUGCUAGUACCAAUAACAAUAAAAUACUUAAGUGCAAAUCUAACAAAAUAAAUAUAAAUAUAGGACUUUAUUCACUUCAAAACUGUGAAUAAAAACAUCAAAGAAGAUCUAAAUAAAUAGAGAGAAAAUUCACAUUCAAGAAACAUUCAACUUUGUUAAAAUGUCAGUACCUCCCAACUUUACAUGUUCAAUGCAGUCCCAAUCAAAAUUCCACAAAGUUAGUUUGUGGAUAUUGACAAACUGACCCUAAAGUUUAUAUGAAAAGGCAAAAGACCCAGAAUAGCCCAGAAAAUAUUCAAAAAGAACAGUUGGAAUGACACUACCCAACUGUAAGAACUACUAUAAAGCUACAGUAAUCAAAAUAACAUGGUACUGUUAAAAAUAAUAGAGAAACAGAUAAACGAUACAAAAGAGAAAGGUCGGAAAUUGACCCACACAAAUAUAGUCAGCUUAUUUUUGAUGAAAUGGCAAAGGCAAUUCAAUUGAGAGAGAAUAAUUUUUCAAAAAACAGUACUGGAAAAACUAGACAUCCACAUGCAAGAGAAAAGAAAAAAAAAAUCCUAAACCCAGACCUAACAACUUUCACAGAAAUUACUCAAAAUGGAUCAUAGCUCAAUAUAAAAGGAAAACCCACAAAACUUUUAGAAAAUAACAAAGAUCAGAAUCUGAAUUACCUCAGGUUUUGCUCCUUUCUACAACACCCAAAAUAUUAUCCAUGAAAGGAAAAUCUGCUAAGUUGAACUAUUUUAAAAAUAACAUUUCUGCACUGCCAAAGAUGCUGUUAAAAGAAUAAAAAUGCAAACCACAGAAUAAAAGAAAAUAUUUGCAAAACACAUAACUGAUAAAAGACUGGUAUCCAGAAUAUGCGACAAGAAAUAAAGAACUCUUAAAACGCAAGAAUAAGAAAUGAACAACCCAAUUAUAAAAUUGCAAAAGAUCCAGAUACCUUACUAAAGAACAUAUAAGCAUGGCAAAUAAGCAUAUGAAAAUAUGCUCAACAUCAUAUGUCAUUAGGAAAUUGAAAAUAACAAUGGCAUACUGCCACACACAUAUUAGAAUGGCUAAAAUCCAAAACAAUGACUACACUAAAUGCUGGUGAGGAUAUAGAGUAACAAGCACUCUCAUUUAUCGCGGGUGAAUAUGCAAAGUGCUAUGACCAGUUUGGAAGACAGUUUGCCGGUUUCUUACAGAGCUACACAUACAUUUAAGUGCAAUCCAGCAAUCACACUCUGUGGCCUUUAUCCAAAAGAGGUGGAAACUUUCAUCUACACAAAACUCUUCACCCUACUAUUAAGAAGAGUUUUAUACAUAAUUGCCAAAACAUGAAACCAACCAAGAUAUUCUUCAAUAGGUAAAUGAAUAAACUAACUGGGGUGCAACUAUACAACGAACAUUAUUCACUGAUAAAAAGAAAUGAGCUGUCAAGCCUUGAAAAGAUAUGAGGAACCUUAAGUGCAUAUGGUUGGGAAAGAAGGAAAUCUGAAAAGGCUACAUGCUAUAUGAUUCCAAGUAUAUGACAUUCUGUAAAAGGCAAAACCAAGGAGACAGUAAGAAGAUCUGUGGUAUCCCCAAGUUUGGGGGGAAGAAGGGAGAGAUGAAUAGGUGGGGUACAGCAUAUAUUUUAAGACAGCAAAACUAUUCUGCAUAAUGCAGUAAUGGUGGAUACAUGUCAUGUCAUUAUGCAUUUGUCAAAAUCCAUAGAUUUUAAAAUAAAAAAAACCAUGAAUUUGAAUGCAAACUUUAGAUUUCAGCUAAUAAUAACUUUUCUAUAUUAGUUCAUUAACAGUAAAAAUAUGCCACACCAAAGUAAGGUGUUAAUAACAGAGGAGAAGCUGGGUGCAGGGAGAGGAUACAUGGAAACUCUGUGCUUUCCACUUAAUAUUUAUGUAAACUUGAUACUUACCAAAAAAAUAAAGUAUAAAAAAUAUCCCAAUGAUUACUAUCAAAAGUAGACUGGAUUUAAAAAUUAUACUAGUUACAAAUAUGUGACUGAAUAUAGUCCUAUGCAGCAAUUAAAAUAAAUAAACUCAGGUGUUAAAUGUCAUCCCCAUGAUCGUAAUCACAAAAAAGCCAUAGAAUAUACACAAAAGAAAAUAAAAAGUGUAAAUGUUUCACCAGAAAAAAUCAACCAAACAAGAAGAAAUAAUGUAGAAAAUACAAAACUAGAAGAUGUAAGAUAUACAGAAAACAAAUAGCAAAAGGACAGAACUCUCUACUUUUAAGUAAUUAUUUUAAAUGUAAAUGUAUUAAACUAUCCAAUUAAAAGGCAGAAAUCAGCAGAACAGACUAUAAAACAUGAUCUAACUAUCUUGUUUUUACAAGAUUCACAUUAGAUUCAAAGAUACAACUAGGCUGAAAGUAAAAGGAAGAAAACAGAUAUUUCGUGCAAACAGUAAGCAAAAUAGAUUUGGGUUGGCUAUAUUAAUAUCAGACAAAAUAGACUUAAAAUCAAAAAUCUUACAUAAAAAUACAAAGACACUGUGUAUUCACAAAAGUCCCUUUAGCAAGAAGAUAUAAAUAUUAUAAGCAUGCAUGUACCUAAUAAUAAACCACUAAAAUAUAUGAAGCACAAAUCGACAGAAUUGAAGAGAGAAGUCGACAGAAUUGGAGAAGUCGACAGUUCUAAAAUAAUAGAGAUGAUAAUACUCCACUCUCUGUAAUGAACAGAAUCACCAGAUAGAAGAUAAGUUAGAAAUAAAUGGCUUAUAUAAUACAACAAACCAACUAAAUUUAACAGAUACAUAUACAGGAUACUCCACCCAACAACAGAAGAAUACACACUAUUCUCAAUGUCCAUGGAUCACACAUGGACAUUCUCCAGGAUGGACUGUAUGUUAUGUCACAAAUCAAGUCAAUAACAGAAGGAAAACUAAAACACUCACAAAGUUGUAAAAUUUAACAUACUCUUAAACAACCAAUAAGUAAAAGAAAAAAACUCAAGGGAAAUUAAAAAAUACAGAGAAUGGAAAAUGAAAAUACAACAUACCAAAAGUUAUGAGAUGCACAAAAGCAGUGUGAAGAUCAGAAAUUUAUAGCUAUAAACACAUUAAAGAAGGGCCUUGGCUGGGCGUGGUGGCUCAUGCCUGUAAUCCCAGCACUUUGGGAGGCCAGGCAGGUGGAUCACCUGAGGUCAGGAGUUUGAAACUAGCCUAGCCAAAAUGGUGAAACCUUGUCUCUACUAAAAAUACAAAAAUUAGCCGGGCAUGGUAGCG